ensembl:lncRNA
AUAUAGGCUUUAUCCCGUUUAUUCACCUCAAUAACCAUCCGGUGGAUAUUUACAUCUACUUUUGGCUGACAUGAAACAGCAACGCGUCGCUAUCCGAUCCCAAAAACACUUGAUGAUGAUGAUUGACAGGUGACGCUUUGUCGACGUCUCCCUCACUGUCACUGCAAAAAAAGCUGUUUCAUCUCCCACCUUCCUGGUUCCUCUGAACCCUCCCAGCUCAUUACUCCCACUAACCAGAGGACUACGUUUGGAUCCUCUCCCCUCAGUCAAGACAGCAAAGAAUGGCACAGCGUCACACACACUGCUGAGAAUGGAUUCCCCUCCAGAGUGUGUGUUGGCCCUGUCGUGUGAGCAGCCCCCUCCCCGUCCACACUGCCCUCCCUGGACCACAGCCCC